CCUACGGGAGACAGCAGUGAGGAAUAUUGGUCAAUGGUCGUAAGACUGAACCAGCCAAGUAGCGUGCAGGAUGAAGGUACUAUGGGUUGUAAACUUCUUUUAUGCGGGAAUAAAGUUCGCCACGUGUGCCGUUUUGUAUGUACCUUAUGAAUAAGCAUCGGCUAACUCCGUGCCAGCAGCCGCGGUAAUACGGAGGAUCCGAGCGUUAUCCGGAUUUAUUGGGUUUAAAGGGAGCGUAGGCGGGUUGUUAAGUCAGCUGUGAAAGUCCGCGGCUCAACCGUAGCACUGCAGUGGGAACUGGCAGGCUUGAGUACGCGGGACGUAUGCGGAAUGCGUGGUGUAGCGGUGAAAUGCUUAGAUAUCACGAAGAACUCCGAUUGCGAAGGCAGCAUACGACAUCGCUACUGACGCUGAAGCUCGAAGGCGUGGGUAUCGAACAGGAUUAGAUACCCGAGUAGUC
rnacentral:rRNA from 1 species